rnacentral:lncRNA from 1 species
GUGACUCUCGCCGGCGGGGAGGGGCGUGGACCCAAGAAGUCCCUGUGCGCUUGCGCAGAGACCGAACUACCGCUUUCCCCGUAACCAGGGAGACUGCAGUUUGCAGUGAUGUGGCUAAGAUACCCUUGUGCUAUUAAAGGCACAUUUACGUAUCUUUCAACGCAGUUUGUACCUUUGUUUAGGGUUCUAUUGAACUUUCUCUGUGCUCUUUAGAAAACCGUCGAAUAAAGGUAACCAUCUUUUUGGGUGCCUGGGCAUGGUCAUUGUCCCAGAGUUUUAACAGAAGUCUCUACUAAAGUAUCCUGAUUUGCAAGAACUCAAAUGAUGCUGUUUUUGGACAGGGAGGUCAUGGACCAAGUACAAAGCGGCAAAAGGAUGGAAUUAAGGGAUAUUUCCAGUGAAAGAAAGAAGAAAGCAUGCUUUUCUCUUGACUGUGCAGAAAAAAAAACUAUGUUUCUUUGAUUCUCCAUUUUACUAGAUGCCAUACCUUUGCAAUUACUUCAUGUGGAGUCUUGACCAAGAUUCAGGAAAUACUAGAACUUUCAGUCCCAGAAGGUUACUCUGGGCAUUACUAGUCCCCAUCAUUAUGAGUUGAGUUUUACUAGUUAAUUUCAGACGAAAAAUAUUUGUUUUUCCCCAAAUUCUGGGGUUACGUACUUUUACUACCUAUGAACUGACAACUGUAUCUUCAGUAAUUACAAUUUCCAACAAAAUGUUAUAGGAAUAAAGAAAAGAUGUUAGUUCAUUAUUCAGAGUUUAUGUUUAUUCCUUUAAUAAAAAGAAAUGGUCUGUAUUUCUUCUUUUCACAUUUAUUUCCUCAGUUCAAACCUGCUUUUCAGGUUAUCCUAUGACUUGAAGUUGACUAAUUUGUUCACCUUAAUUAGUUGUGUUGCAAUAUAUAUGUAAUUAGCUAUUUGCAUUGCAACCUGCACAAAAUUAUUCCUGUUCAUAAACUACUGAGAGGAAAGGGGCUUAAAGUUCAAAGGAGU